AUGAAUUAUCUAAGCUGGAACUGCCGGGGGCUUGGGAACCCCGAGGCAGUUCGAGAGGUUCGCAAGAUUGUGAAGCAAGAAGGGCCUUCCCCGGUUUUUGUUAUGGAAACAAAGAUUAGGGCGACAAGGGUGGAAAGCUUAAAGCACUCACUUGGGUUUGCAGGAUGUUUCGCGGUUGAUAGUAUUGGUCUCAGUGGUGGAAUUGGACUGUUUUGGUCCAAGGAUGUUACGGUUGAAUUACAAAAUUUCAGUUCUGGUCACAUAGAUGUUAUGGUCCGGAAAGCUGAUGAUACUGCUCCGACAUGGAGAUUUACCGGGUUCUACGGAGCCCCAAGAAGUGAGGAAAGACAUCACAGUUGGAGGUGUUUGCGCACACUGCAUGGUAUUCAACAUGAGGCAUGGUUGUGUGUCGGCGAUUUCAACGAGACGGAGCAGACACUAAACACUUCAGUCGCGCUGCUAGACCGGAGUGGCAGAUGCGUGCGUUUCGGGAGGUGUUGGAGGACUGUUCUUUGCAGGACUUGGGCUUCUCUGGCAUACCUUUUACAUGGGAUAAUAGACAGGCAGGUGGUGCUAAUGUUAAAGCCCGCCUUGAUCGUGCUGUAG
rnacentral:rRNA from 1 species